AUCAACGCUGGCGGCGUGCCUAACACAUGCAAGUCGAACGCGAAGGGGGCUUCGGCCCUGAGUAGAGUGGCGAACGGGUGAGUAACGUGUGGGUGACCUACCCUCGAGUGGGGGAUAACGUUCCGAAAGGGACGCUAAUACCGCAUGACAUUCCGGGUUCGAAGACCUGGAAAUCAAAGCCGGGGACCGCAAGGCCUGGCGCUCGAGGAGGGGCCCGCGUCUGAUUAGCUAGUUGGCGGGGUAAUGGCCCACCAAGGCGACGAUCAGUAGCCGGCCUGAGAGGGCGGACGGCCACACUGGGACUGAGACACGGCCCAGACUCCUACGGGAGGCAGCAGUGGGGAAUUGUUCGCAAUGGGCGCAAGCCUGACGACGCAACGCCGCGUGGAGGAUGAAGG
rnacentral:rRNA from 1 species